rnacentral:rRNA from 1 species
GAUGAACGCUGGCGGCAUGCCUAAUACAUGCAAGUCGAACGAGAGGAAGGAAAGCUUGCUUUUCUGAAUCUAGUGGCGAACGGGUGAGUAACACGUAGGUAACCUGCCCAUGUGCCCGGGAUAACUUCUGGAAACGGAUGCUAAAACCGGAUAGGUAGCAGACAAGCAUUUGACUGCUAUUAAAGUGGCUAAGGCCAUGAACAUGGAUGGACCUGCGGUGCAUUAGCUAGUUGGUGAGGUAACGGCCCACCAAGGCGACGAUGCAUAGCCGGCCUGAGAGGGCGGACGGCCACAUUGGGACUGAGACACGGCCCAAACUCCUACGGGAGGCAGCAGUAGGGAGUUUUCGUCAAUGGGGGGAACCCUGAACGGGCAAUGCCGCGUGAGUGAGGAAGGUCUUCGGAUCGUAAAGCUCUGUUGUAAGAGAAAAACGACAUUCAUAGGGAAUGAUGAGUGAGUGAUGGUAUCUUACCAGAAAGUCACGGCUAACUACGUGCAGCCGCCGCGGUAA